rnacentral:rRNA from 1 species
AAAGGAAUUGACGGGGACCCGCACAAGCAGCGGAGCAUGUGGUUUAAUUCGAAGCAACGCGAAGAACCUUACCAAGGCUUGACAUCCCCUUGACCGGUACUUAGUCGUACCCUUUUCUUCGGAAACAAGGGAGACAGGUGGUGCAUGGUUGUCGUCAGCUCGUGUCGUGAGAUGUUGGGUUAAGUCCCGCAACGAGCGCAACCCUUAUCCUUAGUUGCCAUCAGAUAAAGCUGGGCCCUCUAAGGAGACUGCCGAUGAUAAAUCGGAGGAAGGUGGGGAUGACGUCAAAUCAUCAUGCCCCUUAUGUCUUGGGCUACACACGUGCUACAAUGGUCGGUACAACGGGUAGCGAAGGAGCAAUCCGGAGCAAAACCUAAUAAACCGAUCCCAGUUCGGAUUGUAGGCUGCAACUCGCCUACAUGAAGUCGGAGUUGCUAGUAAUCGCGAAUCAGCACGUCGCGGUGAAUGCGUUCCCGGGUCUUGCACACACCGCCCGU